UACGGAGGGUGCAAGCGUUAUCCGGAUUCACUGGGUUUAAAGGGUGCGUAGGUGGGCUAGUAAGUCCGUGGUGAAAUCUCCAAGCUUAACUUGGAAACUGCCGUGGAUACUAUUAGUCUUGAAUAUUGUGGAGGUAAGCGGAAUAUGUCAUGUAGCGGUGAAAUUGCUUAGAUAUGACAUAGAACACCGAUAGCGAAGGCAGCUUGCUACACAAUCAUUGACACUGAGGCACGAAAGCGUGGGGAUCAAACAGG
rnacentral:rRNA from 1 species